CUUCAUAAGCUCCCUUUAAUCAUCAAAACAUCCAUAUUAAUGGCGAAGAUGAGCAGCAGCAAUAAGCAUCUUGUUUCAAAAGUCCUAGUCCUGGUGUUACUUAUUCUGGCUAUAGAAAUGGGGCCAAUGGUGGGAGAAGGAAAAAGGACUUGCGUUCAGCCGAGCAAACACUUCCAGGGCCUAUGCAUAAAUGACUCCAAUUGUGCCGAUGUUUGCAUGACUGAGAAAUUUACAGGAGGCCAAUGCCAUGGUGCCUUUGGACAAUGCCUUUGCACCAUUCUCUGUGACUGAAGAAACCUAGUCUUCUAAACUAUGUAGUCUAUUAUUCUACAGAAUAAAAAUGGAUGCAGUCUUUAGAUGAGACUCAGAAUAUAUGUAUCAUAAGGAGAUUACUUACUUUGUCAAUUAAUGAAUAAAACUGUGUUAUUCAUGUUUGUAAUACUAAAUUAAAAUAAAUAAAUAUAAUAAUGUUUCUACUU